CGGAGAAGGGGUGGGGCUUGGGGUUGAAGACCUUCGGAGCCCGGGCAGGAGGUCCCUGCUACGAAGGACCGGCUUGCUGGCGGCUUCAGAGAUCUCCGAUCCUUUGGAGAUUCCAGUGUCUUCCUUGCUUACACAUUCCCUCUCACCUCUGUAGACAGAAAGCUUCUGAAGCACGUGUAGAGGUGUCCUCCCAAAUCACAUCUCCUAACUUCCUACAGUGACAGUCCUUCCAGAACUACCUCCAAACAAGUAAGUUGCUUUGGGCUCUAAGGGUACUCCAGGAUAGGUAAUGGCUCUCUGAAGAGAGGCCCAUAUGCUCCAUUUUUGUCUCCUAACUCACUUCACUACUCCCAUCUACAUAUGAGAAUCCUUACAUUUAUCAUGGAAUAUCACUGAACAGGAAAAGAUUAGUGGUAACGGUUGCUGGAAAAGCCAGUCCAAAGCAAUCAUCAAGAAAGACUGCACUUUAUGUUCUUUUUUGUUUUGCUUUAUAAUAACCCACAAAAAAAUCAAACUAAAGUGAGGAAAGAAUCUUGGCAUAAUACAUUGUAGGCUGAGAUCUACUGGUUUCACGCAGAUUUCAGCUUUGUGCACUGAAAGAAGUAAUUGGUUAAGAACUCUGUAGGCCUGCAGCAGUUAUUGCCUCCCAUUAAACAGUAGUACAGUUAACUAACUUAUUCGCUAGUGGUUCAGUAAAACUGGGAAUACAAAUAUGUGUCUAUAAACCUACAAAACUUUCUCAUCAUUACUCUGUUGUGUUCACUAACUAGCUCUGAAUUCCACCAAUGCUCUGAGUGGUAAACACAACCUUUUUAUUCUUUCAUUUUAUCGAAGGAGGAAACUAGCAAACACUGGUUAGAGAAAUAGGGUCACCCUAGGAAAGUGGCAGUGCCAUGUUGGGACAAGGCUUUUACAACUAUUUAGUCCCUCUCUUCUGAAGAAAAGGAAGGAAAAUCAGAAGCUCCAUGUUCAAGUUCAAACACCAAAAGUUUUGCAAGGGGAUCAAAUAUGUGAUGAAGAGAAAGAUUUUGAGACUAUUACUGCCUUUUAAAUAAAGAAAAAUAAGUGAAAAAAAAGCUAAGAUCUACUGGUUUCACACAGAAAUCAGCUUUGUGCCCUGGAAGAAGUAAUUGGUGGAGGAGAACUCUAGAGCCCUGAGGCACUUAUUGCAUUCCCAUUAAAUAACAGUACAGUUAACUAACAUUAAUUAGUGGGGUUUUCUUGAGUCCAAAUUUUUAUCUGUUAAACCUUGAUUAAAUUUAACAGAGCAAACACAGUCUUUUAACACUUGACCCACGUGAAUGGAAGAGAACUUAGCAUCAAAUGACUAGGGGAUGAGAAUAACCACCCAGGCUUGUGAGCAUCCCUUUGUAGGCAGAUCUCACCAUUGGGGUCUCCCGCCCCUCAGUCUGUGUAUUGCUCUGGCGAGGACCAAGGUGAACCUCCACAUUCUGUUAUGCCUGAGAUCCCACUGGUCAGAAUUUCUUCCUCCUUAGUACAUUUUUAUGGCCCUAGUUUCUCUAUUUUUAUCCAGAUUCCAGCAACUAGGUCCUUGAAGAACUUUUUCUGGAAUUGAUCAUAUUCUUUCUGUUUUAAUGGCAUACAAAACAGAAAAAUUUUCCUCUUAGAAAUUGCCUGACUCAAUCUUAUCACUCUGCACAUUAGGCAAUUGGAGAAGUUAAGCGGUUUUCUGUUUACAUAGGUUGCUGAGACCAGAAGCCAGGUUUUGACUGAGAUGGACCAGAGCCAGCACUUUUGUCUGCCUCUUGGUCCAUUCAUCUUUCCUUUACAUCUUGCAUUUUCUGACUAAAACCUGGAGUAAGUGGCUCCCUUGGUAUCUGAGAAUGCAGAAAUCAUUGAGAUGCUCUUGGAAGUCUUUAGAGCUUACUUCCUUGGCAAAGGGAAAAAUGAAGCUAAGUCUGAUUGCUUAUUUUUAAGUAUUUACUAAAUGGAUUCUUGGCUGUGGGCAUUGAAAAAUAUAAAACCAUAAUGGAGACCAUAGCACACAACUUGGCAUAUUAUAUAUUUAUUUGAAAAAGAAAACAAUGAAAUUAUUUACAAAGCUCAGAAUAGCUAUAUUUGCUUAGCUGCAACUUGGAAGUGUUGCUAAAAUUUGAGAGCAUUUAAAAAAUUUUCAACACAUAUUAAACAGGAACCAACAAAGUGUCAGGCACUGUGUUAAGUGCCUAAGAUGCAAUGAUAAACUAUGGACAUGAGUCCUGCCUUCAUUGCACUUACUGUCUAGUGAGGGAUAUAGGUAAGUAAGUGGGUAAGUAAGAUAUAGUGUGAAAAUGAGCAUCAUAGGUGAAGUACAAGGCAUGUGAGUACUUAGCAAGGGCAUCUCUGGGGAGUCUGGCAAGUUUUGCUGGUAAAAGUGAUAUUUAAGCUGAGAAGUAAGGGAUGAAGAGAAGUUAACCCAGUAAAAACAGGAGUUGGGUGGGGAUGGAUAAGUGUUGUAGGUAGAGGGAGUAGCAAUUGGAAAAGUUCCAAAUUAAAAGAGAAAAUAAUUUUUCAGGAACUGAGAGAAGUUCAGAAUUGCUAAAAUAUGCCUCCUAUAAACUUUCCUGUGCUAUUUCUUUCUUUUUUAAAAAAUUGUUUUAUUGAGGUCAUAUUAGUUUGUAAUAUUGUGUAAUUUCAGC